rnacentral:rRNA from 1 species
UACGUAGGGUGCGAGCGUUAAUCGGAAUUACUGGGCGUAAAGCGUGCGCAGGCGGUUCGCCAAGUCAGGUGUGAAAUCCCCGGGCUUAACCUGGGAAUUGCGCUUGAAACUAGCGGGCUUGAGUGCGGCAGAGGGGGGUGGAAUUCCACGUGUAGCAGUGAAAUGCGUAGAGAUGUGGAGGAACACCGAUGGCGAAGGCAGCCCCCUGGGUCGACACUGACGCUCAUGCACGAAAGCUAGGGGAGCGAACGGG